UUGGCGGACGGGUGAGUAACGCGUGGAAAACCUGCCGUAUACUGGGGGAGUAACACUUAGAAAUAGGUGCUAAUACCGCAUAAGCGCACAGCUUCGCAUGAAGCGGUGUGAAAAACUCUGGUGGUAUACGAUGGUUCCGCGUCUGAUUAGCUAGUUGGUGGGGUAAUGGCCUACCAAGGCAACGAUCAGUAGCCGGCCUGAGAGGGUGAACGGCCACAUUGGGACUGAGACACGGCCCAAACUCCUACGGGAGGCAGCAG
rnacentral:rRNA from 1 species